GCCUCCUUGGCGCAGUGGUAACGCGUCGCACUUGUACUGCAAGCAACAAGACUAUGCGAAGAUCACAGGUUCAAUUCCUGUAGGUGGCA